UUGCGAUGAUGUAUUGAAUUUCUUCACCUGAAGCAAUAGCUAUGUGGAUCAAAUCAUCGAGCUUUUUAAAUCUGAGUAGG